GACGAACGCUGGCGGCGUGCUUAACACAUGCAAGUCGAACGGAAAGGCCCUGCUUUUGUGUGGUGCUCGAGUGGCGAACGGGUGAGUAACACGUGAGUAACCUGCCCUUGACUUUGGGAUAACUUCAGGAAACUGGGGCUAAUACCGGAUAGGAGCUCCUGCUGCAUGGUGGGGGUUGGAAAGUUUCGGCGGUUGGGGCUGGACUCGCGGCUUAUCAGCUUGUUGGUGGGGUAGUGGCUUACCAAGGCUUUGACGGGUAGCCGGCCUGAGAGGGUGACCGGCCACAUUGGGACUGAGAGACGGCCCAGACUCCUACGGGAGGCAGCAGUGGGGAAUAUUGCACAAUGGGCGGAAGCCUGAUGCAGCAACGCCGCGUGCGGGAUGACGGCCUUCGGGUUGUAAACCGCUUUCGCCUGUGACGAAGCGUGAGUGACGGUAAUGGGUAAAGAAGCACCGGCUAACUACGUG
rnacentral:rRNA from 1 species